UACGAAAGGGGCUAGCGUUUUUCGGAAUUACUGGGCGUAAAGCGCACGUAGGCGGCCAUGUAAGUUGGGGGUGAAAUCCCGGGGCUCAACCCCGGAACUGCCUUCAAAACUACAUAGCUAGAGGAUGUGAGAGGAUAGUGGAAUUCCGAGUGUAGAGGUGAAAUUCGUAGAUAUUCGGAAGAACACCGGUGGCGAAGGCGACUGUCUGGCACAUUUCUGACGCUGAGGUGCGAAAGCGUGGGGAGCAAACAGG
rnacentral:rRNA from 1 species